ACCUGCAGAAGAAGCACAGCCUUUUACGGCUGCCUGUACGCCGGCUGCGUUCCCAUCACAGUGCGACCGCCUCACCCUCAGAACAUCUCCACCACCCUGCCCACUGUUAAGAUGAUUGUCGAGGUGAGUCACUCGGCGUGUGUGAUGACCACCGCCGUCAUCUGUACGCUGCUGCGCUCCAAAGAGGCCAUGGCCACGGUGGACAUCAGGAACUGGCCCCCAGUCCUGGCCACCGGGGUCUGCUGUUGUUGGCUCAGGCUGUGAAAUCCAGCUCGACUCUGACUCACAUCUACAUCUGGGGAAACCACCUGGAGGAGCCCGUAUGCCCAUAUCAGCAUCAGCACCCUGCAGACACACAGAAAGUUUGUGAUCCACUGACAGACGGAGGCUGGGACAGUGAGCUGAGUGAGUUUGGAGCGGAGGACUCCAGGACAUGUAACAGGGCAGUCGAGGGGUUGCAGUGUUGAAGUGCAGUGCUAUGUUGACAUCAUCAGCCACUGAGCUGUUUGACCAGUAGGUAAACUAAAGGAGUGGAGCAGGGGACAUGUGAUGUCUUGCAGGAUCGGCAGGAACGUUUGGCUUCCCUGGAAUGUGACAUCACCUGCAUCGCCUGCACCACCCGCAUCUGUGAGCUGCGUGCUCUGUCUGCAGGCAGUCGCUCACAUCUGUGAUAUGUGAAGCUGAAAAAAGAAGCAGGAAGUUGUUGAAUGAUAAGCUCUGCAGAUCUUUGUGUGUCUUGUGUCAUUCAUGUAAAACAGGAUAGACAAAAUAACAGAAACAGCUUGGUGUAAUUUUAACAUUUUAUACUUUCUUUCUACAGUUAUCUGACAGCUGUUGCCACUUUUCAGCUUGAUUUGACAAUCAAACACAUAAAGAACCCAGAAACACACAGAUAUGAGCUGAACUCUGUUCUUUUUUAUAAAUUCAACAUGCCGACAUGCUAUUUCAUUACAGCCCCAAGGCAGAAACCUUAUCAAUAUACAACUGCUCGACUGAUCUUUCACACAAAUAUCCAAUCAACAACAAGUCAAACCUGGAAGCAGACGGGCUACAGCAGAAGACCACACUGGGUGCCACUCCUGUCAGCUGAGAACAGGAGCUGAGGCUACAGUUCACACAGGCUCACAACAGAGGAUUGGAAAAGUCUCCUGGUCUGAUGAGUCUGAAUUUCUGUCUCAAGUCCAGAUUUUAAAUGGCCUGUAUUUGUAUAGCGCUUUACACAUCCAGUCAUCCACCCAUUCACACACACAUUCACAUACUGGUGAUGGCAGCUACAUUGUAGCCACAGCCACCCUGGGGCGCA